AGCAGCCGCGGUAAUUCCAGCUCCAAUAGCGUAUAUUAAAGUUGUUGCAGUUAAAAAGCUCGUAGUUGAAUUUCGGGAUCAAUGCGUCGGUCGUGCUUUCGGGUACGUACUGGUGUCAUUGGUUUCUCCUUUCUGACGAGCCGUGAUGUCAUUAAUUUGGUGUUACGGGUAGUUAGGACUGUUACUUUGAAAAAAUUAGAGUGUUUAAAGCAGGCAUUGGCUUGAAUACAUUAGCAUGGAAUAAUGAAAUAGGACGUUCGAUCCUAUUUUGUUGGUUUCUAGGAUCAACGUAAUGAUUAAUAGGGAUAGUUGGGGGCAUUAGUAUUCAAUUGUCAGAGGUGAAAUUCUUGGAUUUAUUGAAGACUAACUACUGCGAAAGCAUUUGCCAAGGAUGUUUUCAUUAAUCAAGAACGAAAGUUAGGGGAUCGAAGACGAUCAGAUACCGUCGUAGUCUUAACCAUAAACUAUGCCGACUAGGGAUCGGAUGAUGUUAAUUUUUAAUGACUCAUUCGGCGCCUUA
rnacentral:rRNA from 1 species